UACGUAGGGCGCAAGCGUUGUCCGGAAUUAUUGGGCGUAAAGAGCUCGUAGGCGGCUUGUCGCGUCGACCGUGAAAACUCGCAGCUCAACUGCGAGCCUGCGGUCGAUACGGGCAGGCUAGAGUUCGGUAGGGGAGACUGGAAUUCCUGGUGUAGCGGUGAAAUGCGCAGAUAUCAGGAGGAACACCGAUGGCGAAGGCAGGUCUCUGGGCCGAUACUGACGUGAGGAGCGAAAAGCGUGGGGGAGCGAACAGG
rnacentral:rRNA from 1 species